rnacentral:rRNA from 1 species
GGAUCAUUAAAGAGUUUAAUAAAACUCCUAAACCCCUGUGAACUCACUAUGUUGGAUUCUCGCCAGAGAUAGUCUGGUUUCUGCUUCGCGGAUCGCCUGCCCGUGACACCUGUCACAGGUAGGUAUGCUUCUGCCGCGGGUCCGCAGGUAAAUCGUCUGUUUCACAAGGGACGGCGAUUUUACCUGUGGAAGAGGUCCGCUAACUAUAUUCUUAGUAUAGUUUGUUCACUAGAUCAAACAUUCUGAAUAAAAACUUAAACUAGUUAAAACUUUCAACAACGGAUCUCUUGGUUCUGGCAUCGAUGAAGAACGCAGCGAAAUGCGAUAAGUAAUGUGAAUUGCAGAAUUCAGUGAAUCAUCGAAUCUUUGAACGCACAUUGCGCCCAUUAGUAUUCUAGUGGGCAUGCCUGUUCGAGCGUCAUUUCAACCCUUAAGCCUCUGUUGCUUAGCGUUGGGAGCCUACAGCCUGCUGUAGCUCCUUAAAGGUAGUGGCGGAGUCGGUUCACACUCUAGACGUAGUAAAAUCUUUAUCUCGCCUAUAGAUGAGCCGGCGCCUUGCCGUAAAACCCCUACUCUUUCACAAGGUUGACCUCGGAUCAGGUAGGAAUACCCGCUGAACUUAAGCAUAUCAAUAAGCGGAGGAAAAGAAACCAACAGGGAUUGCCCUAGUAACGGCGAGUGAAGCGGCAACAGCUCAAAUUUGAAAUCUGGCCUUCGGGUCCGAGUUGUAAUUUGCAGAGGAUGCUUUGGGCGCGGUGCCUUCCGAGUUCCCUGGAACGGGACGCCUUAGAGGGUGAGAGCCCCGUACGGUUGGACACCAAGCCUCUGUAAAGCUCCUUCGACGAGUCGAGUAGUUUGGGAAUGCUGCUCUAAAUGGGAGGUAAAUUUCUUCUAAAGCUAAAUAUUGGCCAGAGACCGAUAGCGCACAAGUAGAGUGAUCGAAAGAUGAAAAGCACUUUGAAAAGAGGGUUAAAUAGCACGUGAAAUUGUUGAAAGGGAAGCGUUUGCGACCAGACCUUUUCCCAGCGGAUCAUCCGGUGUUCUCACCGGUGCACUUCGCUGGGUUGAGGCCAGCAUCGGUUUCCGCAGGGGGAUAAAAGCCUGGGGAACGUAGCUCCCUCGGGAGUGUUAUAGCCCCUCGCAUAAUACCCUUGCGGGGACCGAGGACCGC